rnacentral:rRNA from 1 species
GGGUCAGUAGGUUGGUCGUGCCACCGGUACGUACUGGCCUCACUGAUUCCUCCUUCCUGAAGAACCGUAAUGCCAUUAAUUUGGUGUUGCGGGGAAACAAGACUGUUACUUUGAAAAAAUUAGAGUGUUUAAAGCAAGCUAACGCUUGAAUACAUUAGCAUGGAAUAAUGAAAUAGGACGAUCGAUCCUAUUUUGUUGGUUUCUAGGAUUGACGUA